CCUUCAUUUUUCUGACCAUAUCUUCCACUGUAACUUUCCCUGACCCACCCUCAUAUUUCUUCCACCAUGUCUCUCCCAGGACUGAGAACCAUCUCUAUGCAUUUCAUUUCUUUGAAAAUAUCAAUCUCCCCCUUUUGUCAUUCCAAAAAUAUAGCAUCGACUAUUUCACUCUCAUCAAAAGUUUAAUUAUCAGUGGCUCUACAACUGUAGCUUCGACCACCAUAACCAGCACUGCUACAUUCAUCAUGCAGCAUAGAUAGCCUUGAUUGCUAUAUAGAUUUACUUAAUCGAAGGAAUGGGUCCAAACAAGGAUGCAGCUACACAAGGAGGAAAAUGGAUUUUUAUGCGAUGAACUAUACAAGUAGGACCAACAACAUCAAACCAUAAUGAGAUGCACGUUCCUUUUCCUCCCAUCGCUUUUCUGGCAAAAACAUAUUUAGAUCGUAUGCAACAUCUGAUUUGAGGACUGAGACAGUGCUAGAAUAAAUUUUUAAUAGAAACAUAAGAAAAGUCACCCUCAGACACAAAAAAGCUUCUCAAGUAGUUAUAACUACUUGAGAAGAAUCAACUAAACAUACUGAAUACCAAUUAAAAAAUAAUAAUAAUCAAACAAUUAAAGAUAGAUAUGUAAAUGCAAACCAUUGCCAAAUUAAACGUGAGGCUACGAUAUUGCACAAUAGCAGAACCUGUGGCACAAAGUAUCACUUGGGACAAAUAUUCAACAAAUCAACCCUAGAAACUUUUAUUAAAAGUGAGGUUGGUUUGUGCAAUAUAUCGAAAAAAAUUAGGAUAACUAAUACAAAACAGCAGGUUGGUCACGAAAAUUAUCUUCUGCAAAAAUUAAAUCAUCACACGUUUGUGUGGAGAGCAGCCCUAGAAAUUUUAUAUAGUGUGAUUGUCUACGGUGAUGUUAGCUUUUUCAUGAAUCCUGUCAAACGUCUAUUCGUCAUCGAGACAAGUUAAUAGUUCUUACCAUUUCCUGAUAUGUGUGUCAGCCAUCAAAAAAGUGUCUGUUCUUUGGGCAACCCGUAAAUGUAACCGAGAGAUCAGGCAUCAUACUAUUUCAAAUACAGCUUAAAGUAGCCUUUGCCAGGAAACCUGGAAGAGCAAGUUUGGAAAUUGCAAGACAUACAAGUGUCUCCCUCCAAACCAAAACAGGUUAUCUUACUCAAAGAUACAUGAAAAGAUCCAAUAUUAAACAACAAAACGCUCGAGUCAUAAAUAAUAUACACAUGCAUAUGUAGAAGGAAGAGCAGAAGAAAAUAUGAUCAGUGUUACAGAAUAACAAAAGAUUUGUGAAACCAAUUUACUGAUCAUCAGAAUGACUAUCAGUGUUAUUUUCUCAAAUCAAUUAAAGAAAAGUUGCCAAGAAAUUUGCAACUAUAAUGAAGCAUCCUCGGCUUCAACGAUUCUCAUCUUGUUAACCGAGUAUUAGCUUUUGCUGUAAAUGUAUCAUAAAAUGGCGGCACCGAAUCAUAAUAAAAGAAGCAACGAGAGGUACAUAAAUUACAGAAUAUUUAGUAUCGAUGAACAUUAAUCCGUUCCGAGGAAAAAUUAAUGUCUCUUUAAAUGUUGAAGGUGUUUGACAUGACAUGUCAAGUCAUGUCAUUUUCUAAAGAUAAAGAAGACAGGAAAAAGGACUGAAAACCGUAGUGUCACUAAUGAUGUAAAAAAGAUAGACAGUAAUGAACGAAGAUAUAGCAUGACAUAUCAUAAUUCAUGAACACGACCCUUGAACAGAGGAAACUUGUGAAAACGACGCAUACCCAAUCGCUUAGAGAAACACGACAAUAACCCCACUGUGGGCUCAAGCUUAGUAGGAAAGGACGAUAACAGAUACGGACAUCUAAACAUUAUCUAGAAUGCCCCCGCACCAUUUCACCUGAGCGUCAAUGUGGAUACGAGUUAUCGAAUGAAAGAAGGUAACAUUUUCGACCAACAGCCGCCUUCAACCAUAGCAGCAAUCUCUGCUAAGUGAUGGCAUGUACAACCUCUGGUUUUUAAACUUACCUUAGUCUCUUUUGCAAUCAAUUCUUUUCGGAAUCUCAUUACAUAAUGCGUGAAGUUUCAUUGCGUUACAUCUCUCUCUCUCUCUCUCUCUCUCUCUCUCUCUCUCUCUAUUUUCUUUUCUUGAAGAACAAUUAUGUUCUCUGUAAAUUUUUUUUAUCUUAACGUACUCUUUACCAAUCAAUUUUUGGGAAUCUAAUAAGAUAAUGAAUGAAGUUUCAAUCGUACUCUCUCCCCGAACAGAUUUCUGACGCUGUCAAACUUUCUGACAAUUUAUUUGGAGAACAACUAUGCUCUGUGCAAAUCUUUAAUUCUUAAAGCACAAAGGACAUCGAGAACCAGAACAGCAGAGAGAUGGUAGAACCUAAUGCAAUACAUCCGAAUACAAAAGAAUUAAACACAAGUUUCCCAUUAAAUACGUAUUCACAAUUAUUGAAAAAGAUAGAGAGAGAAAAGAAAAAGAUCAUCCGACCGACAACCCUGAUUAGAAUAUUCAUCCAUGACAAUUGGAGCAUGAAGCAUACGAUUAUUGGAAUAUUGAGGAAGCAUAUGGUUCCAUUAGAAGAUAAUUGGAUUAUCAGUUCGCAAUCAAAGAUGACCGAAAGAGGAACCACAGAUCUAUGGAUCAAUGAUCCCUCUAAAAGAAAAGAAACGAUUAGACCUAAAACUUAAGAUCUCACCACCGAAGAAUUAGUUCCCGAAGACGACGACUCGGAGAAUGCCAUCAAAGAUCACCGAAAGACGAACUACUAAUCUACGGAUCUAAUGAUCUCUCCGAAGAAAAACCCCUGGAUUGUGGACCUAAAGGAGAGGAACAGAUCAAGAAUAGAAUCCUAAGAUCUCAACGGCACCUCUUCGUCUACCUUGGAAUGGGAUCUUGAAGAUGCACGAUCUUUCUUUACGAUGAGACUCGAUCAUCAGAUCACCAAAACAAGAACCACUGAUCUGCGAAAGUAACGAUCCCUAUAAACUAAACGAGAGGGAGAGAGAUCAAGAACCUGGGAACCCUGCGUCGUCAUGUCAUCGUUUCGCUCCAUAGAGAGAGACACUCCACAGAGGAA
rnacentral:lncRNA from 1 species